GAAGGUUUAAAAACUUGUCCCCAAACAUUGAUAUCAGUGAAUAUGAGGACAUUUGUAGGAAGAUGGGAGAUUCACAUUUCCCUCCGUUGCAAGAAGCUCCACUGUAAAUCAUUAUGAUAGCAAAAAACAAAACAAAACUAUGUCCUUUUCCAUAUUACUCAGCCAUUAGAAACGACAAAUACCCACCAUUUGCUUCAACGUGGAUGGAACUGGAGGGUAUUAUGCUGAGUGAACCUCCAGAACUGUGAAAAAUAAUUGUCUGUUUUUGAAGCCCCCAGUCUGUGGUAUUUUGCUAUGGCAGCUCCAGCAAACUAAGUCAAUCUGCAUAAUAAGAAGUGCUGGGUCUCCUAUCCACUCAAGUAGGUCUUCAAAUAUUUUCUUUAGGCACAAGAGACCACAUCAAUAUAUGGGAUUGGAGAUAGAAAUAUAAAAUAAACAUAACAAAGAGGUCUACGACAUACUUGAUAUGAUGGGCACCCUCCUGUUCUGUGGGAGAACUCAACUUUACACCCCAAGCAGAGAACAGAGAAGAAGGUUGUGAAAUGAUAUGCCUCUGUCAUGCAUCAACAUCUCCAACUAGGAAGAGAAGAGGGAUGGUUUUCUACUCACAUUUCUAAAAUCUUCCAUUGCUGAUCCACUAAGAAGAACCAAGUAUCUGGAAAAAUAAUAGAGUCAUAAAACUAGUAUUAACUAACAAUACUAUUGGGAUGCCUGGGUGGCUCAGUAGUUGAGCAUCUGCCUUUGGCUCAGGUUGUGAUCCUAGGGUCCUGCGAUCAAGUCCCCCAUCAGGCUCCCCACAAAGGAGCCUGCUUCUCCCUCUGCCUGUC